CACGUAGGGCGCAAGCGUUGUCCGGAAUUAUUGGGCGUAAAGAGCUCGUAGGCGGUCUGUCGCGUCGGCUGUGAAAACCUGGGGCUCAACCCCGGGCCUGCAGCCGAUACGGGCAGACUAGAAUUCGGCAGGGGAGACUGGAAUUCCUGGUGUAGCGGUGAAAUGCGCAGAUAUCAGGAGGAACACCGGUGGCGAAGGCGGGUCUCUGGGCCGAUAUUGACGCUGAGGAGCGAAAGCGUGGGGAGCAAACAGG
rnacentral:rRNA from 1 species